UACGGAGGGUGCAAGCGUUAUCCGGAUUUACUGGGUUUAAAGGGUGUGUAGGCGGUCUUUUAAGUCAGUGGUGAAAUCUCCGGGCUCAACCUGGAAACUGCCAUUGAUACUAUUAGUCUUGAAUUUUGUUGAGGUAGGCGGAAUAAGUCAUGUAGCGGUGAAAUGCAUAGAUAUGACUUAGAACACCAAUUGCGAAGGCAGCUUGCUAAACGAAUAUUGACGCUGAGGCACGAAAGCGUGGGGAUCAAACAGG
rnacentral:rRNA from 1 species